GGCGGCAUGGCCAAGUGGUAAGGCAGGGGACUGCAAAUCCUUUAUCCCCAGUUCAAAUCCGGGUGUCGCCUGAUCAACCAA
rnacentral:tRNA from 1 species